GCUGUCGUCAGCUCGUGUCGUGAGAUGUUGGGUUAAGUCCCGUAACGAGCGCAACCCUUGUCCUUAGUUACCAGCACCUCGGGUGGGCACUCUAAGGAGACUGCCGGUGACAAACCGGAGGAAGGUGGGGAUGACGUCAAGUCAUCAUGGCCCUUACGGCCAGGGCUACACACGUGCUACAAUGGUCGGUACAAAGGGUUGCCAAGCCGCGAGGUGGAGCUAAUCCCAUAAAACCGAUCGUAGUCCGGAUCGCAGUCUGCAACUCGACUGCGUGAAGUCGGAAUCGCUAGUAAUCGUGAAUCAGAAUGUCACGGUGAAUACGUUCCCGGGCCUUGUACACACCGCCCGUCACACCAUGGGAGUGGGUUG
rnacentral:rRNA from 1 species